GUUUUGGAUAUUUUUUGCCAUCUAUUAAAGCUUGGCUAAUAUCACAUUUUAGGUAAAUUGUGCAGCGAUUACUAUUAUUUUGUUGUUAUAUAUGAUGUUUACUGUGACAUAUGUGCAGAAAAAUAUGAAUAUUUUAUCCAAUGUUUCACAAAAUUUGGUAGAAAUAUUGUCUAUCUUUCAAAAUUUAAGAAAAGAGCAUGUUCUUUAUUAUGUUAUUUGUAACAUUCAAACUGCUGUUGGAUAUAAAAUUUAAUGUGGAUGACUUUAAAACAUAUUAGUAAGUUUAUAUGUACAUUCAGCGCGGCUGCAGUUUGGGUUCACAGUUGGUUAGUUUAAAGUGGUGAAAAGGAAGUGAAACAGACAGAUGACAAAGUCUUUAACUGUUUACAGAUCUUACAUUGUUUUCCACAAGAAAACCAUUGAAGGGAUGAAUUAUUUUCUAUCAAACAUGAUAUAAAAGAUAUGAACAAUUAAUGUAAUAUUGAUUAAUUAAACUGUUUCAUUACAUUAACAACUAAGUCAUGUUGGAUAUUAUUCUAUAAUCCUUAGUGAUUUAUGAUGAGUGUAACAGUAGAGGAUUCAAUUAAGUUUAAUCAUUUUGUUUCAUUUGUUAAACCGUAAUUUCUUCCCAUGUCUCCUCUCCUCUGUCUGAUCCCUUCAUGCACACAGAUAACCCACAGUGGUGUUAACCUCUGUCAUGUAUCAUAACUGUCUCAUGUCCAGCUGUCUGUCCUACAGUGGACGUUAAUCUGCUCCUUGUGUGUCUCUGCUUCCCCUCCAGCUGGCCCCAUGGUCAGGCCCUCCGUCUCUCUGCUUCCCCCCUCCUCUGAGCAGCUCUCCGGGGGCUCGGCCACGCUGGCCUGCCUUCUGUCCGGCUACUCUCCUCAGGGAGCUGUGGUGAGCUGGCAGGUGGACGGCACAGAGGUGACAGAGGGAGUCCUGAGCAGCUCAGAGGAGGAGAAGAGCGGACUCUACAGCAGCAGCAGCACCCUGAACCUGAGCCAGGAGCGCUGGAUGCAAGGAGAGCUGUACUCCUGCAGGGUCCUCCAUCAUGACCACAGCCAGACCCAGUCCCUCCACAGGAGCCAGUGUAAGGGCUAGAGGAGCUGGCUGAAGCCCAGGACGGGAGCUCUGUGUGGGGAGCAGCAGGAACACACCUGCUGCUCUGAUCAAUAUGAGUUUGAGUCUUUGUAAACUAAAGCUUUGUGUGACGGAGAACAACAAUUUAGAGAUUAAAGUUCAGCAGCUAGAUGUGAGUGUGUUUAAUAACUGUCAUGUUGAUGAUUGAUGUUCUUGCUAAUAAAGCUUUCACUGAUGAAUUACA